rnacentral:snRNA from 1 species
AUACUUACCUGGCAAGGGAGAUACCAUGAUCACGAAGGUGUUUCUCCCAGAGUGAGGCUCAUCCAUUGUACUCGGGAUGUUCUGACUCUUGUGAUUCCCCAAAUGCAGGAAACUCAACUGCAUAAUUUGUGGUGGGGGGGUACUGCGUUCACGCUUUCCCCUG